GAUGAACGCUGGCGGCGUGCCUAACCCAUGUAAGUCGAGCGAUCUGUUAGCAAUAGCAGAGAGCGGCGGAAGGGUGAGUAACACGUAGGAGACCUACCUCAUCGCAGGGAACAACAGUCCGAAAGGAUUGCUAAUACCCAAAAGACCCGGUGCUUCGAUGUGCCGGGGAGAGUUCGCAAGAGCGUGAUGAGAGGGUCCUGCGGCCCAUCAGCUAGUUGGUAGGGUAGUGGCCUACCAAGGCAACGACGGGUAGGGGGUCUGAGAGGACGAUCCCCCACACUGGAACUGAAACACGGUCCAGACGCCUACGGGUGGCAGCAGGGAGGAAUAUUGGGCAAUGGGCGAAAGCCUGACCCAGCAACGCCGCGUGAAGGACGAAGGCCUUCGGGUCGUAAACUUACUUUUGUAGGGAGGACGAGAAAGGAACGGUAGUCCUCCGAAUAAGCCACGGCUAACUACGUGCCAGCAGCCGCGGUAAU
rnacentral:rRNA from 1 species